UCAUUUUAGAAUGUUGGCAAAAAUCCAGCUCAUCAAGAUUACACCCUGUCAGUUUCUAUCACCAGCAUUGCUCAAUUCUUGCAGCUAUCUGAAACUUGGAUGAUGAAAGACUUUUCUUCAUAUCUAAGAAAGCUUGUGUGCUUAGUUUCUCCAACACAACGUCAAGUCACACCCAUAAAUGGGGCAGACUGUGAGGGAAAAAAUAAACAUCAUCUGAGGGAGGGUUAGAAUGGUGUUCAAGCGUUCAAGACAGACAAAAUUGGUCUUUUUCCACUGUAUAUAAUGCAAUAAAAUUGCUGAACAAUUUUUUUUUUCUCCAAAGUCCAAGAAGGUGUGCAAGGAAGACUGAAGCACAAACAUCUCCACACAGAGUGAACGAGAUAAAAUACCUGUGAUGUGGCCAAAAAGAAGCCUGGAGCCUAACAGAGUGCCAUCAUUGCUCUGAGCAGCUUUACACUGCUGACAACAAGAAUCUGGGUUGCCACAACAAAUGGAUGCUGACAACACAACUCAGAUGAGAGAAGACAGAAACUGUUCAGCUCUUGACACACGCCUGAAAGGUAGGCAAGGUACGUGAAGGAGUGGAAGAUCAUUUAUCAGUUCCACCUACGGUAUUUGGGAUCUGGCUAUAAGGUCAUCGCAUGGUUUUAAUUAGGGAUGUUCGAUACCACUUUUUUUUCAGACCGAAACCAGACAUGAUGAUUCGCCGAUGUGUCAAACUGCCGCAUUGUAGCGCCAACUACUGGUGAGGGCGACUUACUCGAUGUCAGAUUUUUUUGGCCUUAAGUAUCAGUGACUGAUAUGAGCAGCAUUCACAAGUACCCAAUACCUUGAAAUAAGGCCGGUAUCGGCCUGAUACUUAGUAAAGGUACUCGCCCAUCCUUUAGUUUUGAUUGAGCAAUCCGUCAACUAAAAAAGAAUGAGUCCUGUAUUGAGUUCCGUCUUUACACUUUCAUGAAAUCUGACCUUUUGGGAUCAACCUCAAUGAAAGUAAAAAGAGGAAGCCAAAGCUUGUGGACAUUGAGCAGCUUUGUGUGCGUGUGUGUGCGUUAAAAGCAGCAUUGACUUUUGCAGUUAUAUAAUAACUCAAUGAUAACUGGUCGUCCCUCCUAACAUUACAGUCAUCACUAGCUAUUCACGGGGAACAGGCACUGAGACCUACAGCAACUAUACAAACAAUUUGAGUAAUUUUUAAUUUUUAUAACUGCCUAUAUUAAUAGUUUAAACCACAAAUAUACCACAGACUAUGAUCCCGAAACACUUUAAUACAAUUUCAAACUCUUCUUACAGCAUUGCCCUUAAAAACAAAUGGUUUAUAAAUUGUUUGAUUUUGACAAAAAAUUAAACGGUAGUGCGCUUGUACAUGCACAUGCGGCGAAGACUAUUCCCAACGUCCACUAAGCCAGGCAACUAUGAGCUCAUCCCUGACAUACAAAGCUUGUCAAGCAGUCAAGAUGUAUCACGUCAACAUACUUGCUUGAGACCAAUUAAUGUACUACUUUCCUAUAUAGACAGGGCUUUCGCAGCAUCUCGGCAUCUUAUGGCGUUUCAGAAAGAGCAUAAAAACCAUGAAUAGGUGAGUUUUUCAGCUAAUAAUUAUUUUAAAUAUUUUGAAACUUUUAUUUUUAUUAUUCAUCUAUUUUACAGCCUACUAAUACUAAUCCCGCUCUUUAGGGUCAGUGUGGAGGAUGUUUGUUUUGGCUAGCAAUUGAAAAGGAAGAUCAUUGAGAGGUCAUUGAGAAAUGGCCAUCGUAUUUGUUUGGUUUGCAUCAUCCAGGAUUUCUAUCUGGUUAUUUUUUUCUUCCAGAUUGUCCAGUCUGAAUCUUUCAAUGCAUAACAAUGGCGAGUGGGUGUUUAUUAGUUGAACAUUUCAUUUCAGUUCAUUAGAACGGUAAGAGAAACCAGAUGCACAUUCCUGCUAGGAUUAAUCACCCACCCAUGUCCUGCAAAAGACAGAUUCAUAUGGAUUCUUAUGGAAAGACGGAACGUCCCAGGAAAACACACUCAUCUUUACUCUCCAGUUUUUCCCCUCAAACUAUCAGGCUGUCCAUGUGAUGGAUAUCACCAGGGGGCCUCAUGGCUAUUAUUGGCAAAAGUAAAGUUGAUUUUACAUGAAUAACGUUCAAUUAUUUCAGUUUUUGUUCUUUGCGUAUUUGUUUAAGUUCCAUGUACAGAUGAUAACAUUUUUAAAAUGAUCCCCAGUCACUCAGAUCUGGAAAAACACCUGAAGACAGUCAAAUAUGCAUACAUUGACAGGAGCACUACCACCAUCUUUUUUUCUAAACCAAAAAUAUACCCAGCCAUAUUUGGGUUUAGAAACUGAGUUAUGGAUCUGGUGACUGGGCACAGUA